rnacentral:rRNA from 1 species
CCUACGGGUGGCUGCAGUGAGGAAUAUUGGUCAAUGGCCGCAGGGCUGAACCAGCCAAGUCGCGUGAGGGAUGACGGUCCUAUGGAUGUUAAACCUCUUUUGUCAGGGAGCAAAGGGUGCCACUUGUGGCGCUUUGCGAGUACCUGAAGAAAAAGCCUCGGCAAACUCCGUGCCGGCAGCCGCGGUAAUACGGCGGAUUCGAUCGGUAUCCGGAUUUAUUGGGGUAAAAGGGUGCGCAGUCGGAAAGUAAAGUCAGCGGUAAACGUUAGGGGCUAAACCCCGUACUGCCGUUGAAACUGGCGUUCUUGAGUGAGGGAGAAGGAUGCGGAAUGCGGGGUGUAGCGGUGAAAUGCGUAGAUAUACGGAAGAACACCAGUGGCGAAGGCGGAAUACCGGAGCUCAACUGACGCUGAGGCACGAAAGCGUGGGUAGCGAACAGGAUUAGAUACCCGGGUAGUC